UCCUAGCCCGGACAGAAACAGCAUCCUUUGCUUGCUUUCUUUAAGCAAGCAAAGAUAUAGUGUAUGGCCGGAAUAGCU
rnacentral:sRNA from 1 species